GACGAACCGAGCGAACGUUAUUCGGAAUCACUGGGCUUAAAGGGCGCGUAGGCGGGCGUUCAAGUCAGGGGUGAAAGCCCACGGCUCAACCGUGGAAGUGCCUCUGAUACUGGGCGUCUCGAGGGAGGUAGGGGCGUGCGGAACUUCCGGUGGAGCGGUGAAAUGCGUAGAUAUCGGAAGGAACACCGGUGGCGAAAGCGGCGCGCUGGACCUCUUCUGACGCUGAGGCGCGAAAGCCAGGGGAGCAAACGGG
rnacentral:rRNA from 1 species